GUUGCAAUAUUGGUGUGAAUGACUGACUUUGAGACCAAAAUCUCCCCUCCCUCACCUCUGACAAGUAAACCCGAAGCAGAUCUUGCAUUUUGCUGGUCAAAGGCCGUAUCAAAGUAGAUGGAGGUUCUCGUACUACUCUCUUCAGUUCGUGGGGCACCAUUAUCUGCCAAGAUAAGUUUCUUCUCCUCGAUUCCUUUAAGCUCAGCGAAAAAAUCUGAAAUUUUAUAAGAGAUAUCCCUGGCUGUUGUUUGUCUAUUUUCGUAAACUAGUUUGUUUCUGCUUGUCCAGAUGGUCCAAAGACCGCAACAGAAGAUUCGACAUUGUUCCGUUGUACCACGACUAAAAACCCAUGUAAGCCAGUUCCAAAAAGUAUCUUGAGCAUUAUUAAGCACCCAUGAUAACUGUGUGAAUCUCCAAACGUCUUUUGUUGUAGAGCAUUCACGGAAGAUAUGAUUGCAAUCCUCCUCUUCCAGUUUACAAUGAGGACAUCGAGCAUCUGCAACUAUUCGUUUUUUCUUCAGAUUAGCAAAACUAGGAAAGAAGUUCCAAGAGAAUCCCCAUAUUGAAGCUUUUAUUUUUGAGGGAAUUUGUAGAUUCCAAAGUUUUUUGUAAAAAGCUUUAGUCUCGGUUUGUAAAUUAAUAGGAAUUUGAGUACCCUCUUGUAAUAGUUUGUAGGCGCUUCGAACCGAAAAAAUGCCAGAAAGUUCUCCUCUCCAGACUUGAAAAUCUUCAGUUGCUGUCGUUGCCAGUGGAAUUUGCAAGAUCUUUUUAACAACUUCAGCAUUGAAGGUAAUAGAAAGUAUGUCAGCUUUCCACUCUCUUUUAUCUGCAUGAAUCAAAUCCGAGACUAACUUUAUAUUUCCAUCUCUCUGAUGAUUUUGCAAUCUGUCGUCUUCACUGCCCGAAAUCCAGAGGUCCUCCCAAACGGCAAUACGAUCUCCUUUGCCAACCCUCCAGCAAAGUCCUUCUUCAAGGAUUCCUCUUGCCGACUAGAUACUCUUCCAGGUAAGCGAAGGUAAAUUUCCUAAUUGAGCCUUUAGAAAACACGCAUUCGGAUAGUAUUUAGCUUUCAAUACUUGGCCUAGCAAAGAAUCUGGAUAAUUAAUAAGACGCCAAGCCUGUUUAGCUAAUAAUGCGAUAUUAAAUUUGUCAAGUUUUCUAAAUCCAAGUCCGCCUGCUACUUUUAAGUCACAUACCUCUUUCCACGUACACCAAUGAAUCCCCUUCUUGC
rnacentral:lncRNA from 1 species